AACAGUUGUCAGUCAAGGAGGGAACUUGGCCUGUGAAGGCUGUGGGGACGGUGUGGAGGCAGCGGAGACACUUGUCGUUCAGGUGACGGUUACGGAAACGAGGACUUGCGCACUCCCUCCCCUUUAAUUGCCAUCAUCAGGCUCCGAGUCGCCCUCCGUGAACGACUCCCUGAUGGGGACAGAGCUGGGCGGAAACACAGCCGGCAUCGACGCCCUGGAGGGAGGACUGUCAUCGGAGCAGGGUUCGGUGAUGUGUGGUGGUGGCACGGUGCGGCGGUGGUGCUGUGGUGGCUAGUGCUGGGCCUCCUCAGGGACCCCAGCGACGUGGCCUCCCCCCCAGAACCUCACCCAGAUCUUGAAUUUUUCAGAGCUCAUGGAGACACCGGUGAAGCUGCGCAACAAUUACCAGAACAUCUCCCUGGACACUCAAAGCAGCCCGGAGCCGCCAGAGCUCAUCCUGCCCCACACACAUGGUGGCUCCUUGCUGCUUCAGGUGCUAUCACACACAAGCAUUAACACGUCUGCUCCAGUCCCUGACGGUGCCCCCUGCCUGCCGCCGGGGCAUGACCACGACACCCCGCUACCCCGAGACAUGCCCACCCGCCUCUACCGAGCAGGGCUGCCAAAGUUGGCCUUAAAAGGCCAAUUUGGCUUUUUUAGAGGUACAAUGACCUUCAAAAAAUUUAGGUCCAGAGGCCAACCGUAUUUUAGACUUUUAUUGGCCUUUUUUCUAAUGUUCAGCAUGUAUCCUGCUGUUAUUUAAAAUAUUAUUAAUGGCUCCCAAAGAAAUAAAGAUAAUAUGAUGUUAGCGCAAAAGGACAUGUGAUUAAGAGCAUCUAAUGCACUUGAUAAUAUGGACAUCAUUCGUUACGUGUUUGGUACCGGUCUUUACGCACCCUUUGUCACGCACUCCUCCGUCCCUUCCCUCUCCCUGCUCCCCUCAGGUUGUAAAGUUAAAAGUCCGUCGCGGCUGACACGCGUCCUACGUAUUGGGAAAGUUGAGCUUGGUUUCUAAAGGCGCUGAAAAUUACAUGAGCAGCUAAUUUGUCAUUCAUCUAAACUGACAUGGGUAAAUGGAAAACUUCGUAUAGUGAUGGGAGAGCUUACCGAGAGGAAUGGGAGAAAUUAAGACCAUGGGUGGCUGAUGUUAUAGUAGGAUAUCAAUGUAUUAUUAUUAUUAUUUAGUAUCACCAC